rnacentral:rRNA from 1 species
UCGAACGCUUCUUUCCUCCCGAGUGCUUGCACUCAAUUGGAAAGAGGAGUGGCGGACGGGUGAGUAACACGUGGGUAACCUACCCAUCAGAGGGGGAUAACACUUGGAAACAGGUGCUAAUACCGCAUAACAGUUUAUGCCGCAUGGCAUAAGAGUGAAAGGCGCUUUCGGGUGUCGCUGAUGGAUGGACCCGCGGUGCAUUAGCUAGUUGGUGAGGUAACGGCUCACCAAGGCCACGAUGCAUAGCCGACCUGAGAGGGUGAUCGGCCACACUGGGACUGAGACACGGCCCAGACUCCUACGGGAGGCAGCAGUAGGGAAUCUUCGGCAAUGGACGAAAGUCUGACCGAGCAACGCCGCGUGAGUGAAGAAGGUUUUCGGAUCGUAAAACUCUGUUGUUAGAGAAGAACAAGGACGUUAGUAACUGGACGUCCCCUGACGGUAUCUAACCGGAAAGCCACGGCUAACUACGUGCCAGCAGCCGCGGUAAUACGUAGGUGGCAAGCGUUGUCCGGAUUUAUUGGGCGUAAAGCGAGCGCAGGCGGGUUUCUUAAGUCUGAUGUGAAAGCCCCCGGCUCAACCGGGGAGGGUCAUUGGAAACUGGGAGACUUGAGUGCAGAAGAGGAGAGUGGAAUUCCA